GUGUCAGCAGCCGCGGUAAUACGAGGGGUGCAAGCGUUGCUCGGAAUUAUUGGGCGUAAAGGGUUGGUAGGUGGUCUUAUUUGUCUGGGGUGAAAGCCUUGGGCUUAACUCAAGAAGUGCCCCAGAAACGGUAAGACUAGAGUCUCGGAGAGGGUCGUGGAAUUCCCGGUGUAGCGGUGAAAUGCGUAGAGAUCGGGAGGAACACCAGCGGCGAAGGCGGCGACCUGGACGAGCACUGACACUCAACAACGAAAGCGUGGGGAGCAAACAGGAUUAGAUACCCUGGUAGUCCACGCUGUAAACGAUGGGUACUAGGUUUGGUGGGUCUUGACCCCCGCUGAACCGGCGCUAACGCACUAAGUACCCCGCCUGGGAAGUACGGUCGCAAGACUAAA
rnacentral:rRNA from 1 species